CACGCCCUAAACGAUGAGUGCUCGAUGUUGGAUGUUUUAGACAUUCAGUAUCUUAGCUAACGCGUUAAGCACUCCGCCUGGGGAGNUACGCGAAGAACCUUACCAACCUUUGCAUGUCUGUCGUACUUUCCUGAAAGGGAGAGGUCAUUUAGUUGGACAGAACACAGGUGC
rnacentral:rRNA from 1 species